CAAUCGAACCCGGAGAUAGCUGGUUCUCCUCGAAAUAGCUUUAGGGCUAGCCUCGCAUUAGUUUACCGGAGGUAGAGCACUGAAUGGUCUAGGGGGCCUCACCGCCUACCGAAACCUAUCAAACUGCGAAUGCCGGAUAAAUGAUGUGCGGGAGUCAGGCCGCGAGAGAUAAGUUCCGCGGUCAAAAGGGGAACACCCCAGAUCGUCUGCUAAGGUCCCCAAGUACGCGUUAAGUGGGAAAGGAUGUUGGAUUGCACAGACAACCAGGAUGUUGGCUUAGAAGCAGCCACACAUUCAAAGAGUGCGUAAUAGCUCACUGGUCGAGUGAUCCAGCGCCGAAAAUGUAACGGGGCUAAAACGCGACACCGAAGCAGCGGGAUGCGUAAGCAUCGGUAGAGGAGCAUUGUGUGAGGGUUGAAGCCAGAGCGAGAGCACUGGUGGACUUCACAGAAGAGAGAAUGCCGGUAUGAGUAGCGAGACCCAUGCGAGAAACAUGGGCGUCGAAGGCCCAAGGUUUCCUGGGGAAGGUUCAUCCACCCAGGGUAAGUCGGGACCUAAGCCGAGGACUGAGGUCGUAGGCGAUGGACAGCAGGUAGAGAUUCCUGCACCACUUAUACUUGUUUGACGAAGCAGUGACACAGAAGGAUAGGACGAGCGCGGUGAUGGUCAACCGCGUAGGCGGCACGAGGCCGGGAAGCAGUGAAGUACACUUCCCGCAAAGGCUGAGUGUUGACAGGACCGAAAAGAAGUAGGGAAGCGUCCGAGUUCACGCUGGCGAGAAAAGCUGCUAAGGAGAGUGUGAGUGCCCGUACCGGAAACCGACGCAGGUGGGCGAGGAGAGAAUCCUGAGACGGACGGGAGAACUCUUGUUAAGGAACUCGGCAAAAUGACCCCGUAACUUCGGGAGAAGGGGUGCCUCGAAAGAGGCCGCAGAGAAUAGUCACAAGCGACUGUUUAGCAAAAACACAGGUAUCUGCGAAAGCGAGAGCUGACGUAUAGGUGCUGACGCCUGCCCGGUGCUGGAAGGUUAAGGGGAAGUGUUAGGGGAAACCCGAAGCAGAGAACCGAAGCCCCAGUAAACGGCGGCCGUAACUAUAACGGUCCUAAGGUAGCGAAAUUCCUUGUCGGGUAAGUUCCGACCCGCACGAAUGGCGUAACGACUUGUGAGCUGUCUCAACAGGAGGCCCGGUGAAAUUGAAGUAUGUGUGAAGAUGCACAUUACCCGCGACUGGACGGAAAGACCCCGUAGAGCUUUACUGUAACCUGACAUUGGAUCUUGAUAACGGAUGCACAGGAUAGGUGGGACGCUGGGAGACGAGGACUUUGGUUUUCGUGGAGCGGCCGUUGGGAUACCACUCUUCUGUUAUUGAGAUUCUAACCUCAAGCCGUGAGCCGGAUGAGAGACAGUGUCAGGCGGACAGUUUGACUGGGGCGGUCGCCUCCGAAAGAGUAACGGAGGCGCCCAAAGGUACCCUCAGAAUGGAUGGAAACCAUUCGAAGAGAGCAAAGUCAGAAGGGUGCUUGACUGCGAGACCAACAAGUCGAGCAGGUACGAAAGUAGGGCUUAGUGAUCCGGCGGUAAGAGAGUGGAAUUGCCGUCGCUCAACGGAUAAAAGCUACCUCGGGGAUAACAGGCUGAUCUCCCCCAAGAGUUCACAUCGACGGGGAGGUUUGGCACCUCGAUGUCGGCUCA
rnacentral:rRNA from 1 species